GUGCUGCCUUUGAGCCCCCGCUGCACCUGCGUGUGGUGCCGGGGGUCAGGCUGCAGCACCAGAGCAGUUGCUUGCACAUAACUGGGGCCUAAGGCUCUCUGCCGGCGACCCUUUUAACCACGAGCAACACGG